AAAUAAACCCAAAUAGUCUACAAGCCCAAUCCCAUCUGAUCUUGGAAGCUAAGCAGGGUCUCGCCUGGUUAGUACUUGGAUGGGAGACCACCUAGGAAGACCAGGUGCUGUAGGUG
rnacentral:rRNA from 1 species